CGUGAAAACACCGGUUCUCGACUGAUCAUAAACGUUAAACAAUAUCGAGCCUGGUCAAUAUUAAGAUGGGUGACCACUUGGGUAUAUCAGGUGCUGUA